AAUUGUUUUCCAUUGGAGACGUGGAAUUUGUAUUUCAUUUUCUCACCUAUACUCCCCAUUUCUUUCUGUAUGCAGGGAAUACAAUCAAGAUAACUCAGGAAAGAAGAUAAUUCAUAAUUAUAGAAGUAAAAAUGCAUAACUCUUAAUAGUGAUCAAUUCAACAGAGAAGAGAUAGCCUUUGAAAUAUCUGAAUUUUCUUUAAAUAUUAAUGAUGAAGAAUUUAGGGAAAUAUCCACCUAUGGGACCAAGAUGAUUUCAUCCAGCCGCUGUGUCUGGAGGUCGGUCUCUAACUACAGAGUGACAUGGACCUCACACACUGCUUCCUGAAAGCAGUGAUAUACAAACGCUGUUGUGCUAUGUGUUCGCUAUUUAGCAGCGAGCUUUCAGAGUGCAGAUCUGACCUGAACACUGCUUGGUUUUCAUGCACAUUAACACAGGAGAUGGGAG
ensembl:lncRNA